rnacentral:lncRNA from 1 species
UAGGCCGGCACUGCCUAGGUGGGCCGGGCGGUGCGAGGGUCGCCUUUCAGCCUUUACCUCUACCCACUGAAAUGGAGUAGGUCGGUGAGCGCCGAUCUGCUGGAGAAUCUCAUUAUCCCAUCGGCGCUCUGCCUGCUCCUGGCCUCCAAGCCUCUGAAGCCCCUCGGGUUUCAGCUGCCGGCUACCCUCGAGCCCGUGGUGCCCACGAGAGAGGCGACUUUACGUCAGCGGCCCUGGGCUGAGAUUUGAGAACGCGACCAAGUGGAGAAUGUUGGAGCCAGAUUUUAAAAUCCUUGUCUUCCUUCUGCGUGCUACUUGAUCUAAAUGAGAUACGGCAAAGUCACAGAACCUGUUUUUAUGUUUUUGCCUGAUUCAUACGGGCUUCUCCGGUGAAGAUGGGCCUGAAGUAACGCUUGGGUUGCUUCUGACGUUAUAACUCAUCCUGUAGCUGCAGCAACCGUGGUCCUUGCAACCUCAUAAAAAUGUUGCCAGCAUUGUUUCGAUAGUGCUGCUUAAUUCUUGGAAGGUUCUUCGGACUUCACACAUUCCAGCAGUAGCUCUCUCAGCUCCUGUCCUGCACAGCUUUGAAGUGCUGGACACAGCCCUGGUGAUGGCUUUCUGAGGAUGACACGAUGGAGGCUUCUCCAAUAGCUCUAAAACUGCGGUGUGGAAAACAUUCGGCAGCCUCAAAGAGCGGUCUUGUUGACCCCAACUAUAUCAUUUUUCAUCAAAAUCAUUCUUGUAAAGAAUGACCAGGCAACACUCUUUGAAAAUUGGAGGCCAUUUGCAGCUGCUCUCUGUUGAGGAAAGUGAAUAAUAGGGUGCCCUCAAGGAAUUGCAAAGGGACACGCUGCGGAUGGCUUGAGAUUAGUAUCUGCGCAGGUGCCAUUCUCACAGUGUGUGCUGUGAGAAUGUCGCAGACGUGUGCUGCUACUCUGGCACUCACACUUGUCCAGGCUGUUUCUUAGGUGGUCAUCUUGCCUGUGGUAUCAGAAAAAGGGAUUUCUACUUAGUAUUAAGAAGUUGAAACCAAAGUAGAAAAUAUUCAUCCUUUGCUUUCCCCAAACAAUUCUUCUGCCUAGAAAUGUCAACAACUUAACCACAUGCAAAUACCCAUUUGUGGACAAAUGUGUACAAAAGACAUUUGGGGUUCCCCUCUUUGAGACUAGAUUAAAGCUGACCAUAUAGAUAGGGAAGAAAACUGUUUUUCUCUGUAGCAUCAUAUUGCUGCUUUGUAUAUUUUCUGAUAGAGUAGCAUCAGGUCCUCUGGCUGCUUUAUUGAAAUCAUCUUUGACGUUUCUAACAAGGAAAUUUCCUGUGCAAAACUCUAGUUAGAGAUUUCAGUGACUUGUAUCACCAAGAGGAGGACCAUCAGCAUGCAGUGGAGGUCUAGGCUUCAGACAUGUGAGGCACACUGAGGAGCAGCUUUAUUUGCAAGAGGUAUUAGGAAUCUUCCUAACAAAGUUGACCUUCAGGAUGGGAGAAAUCAAAGCACAGACCAUAGAUCCAAAAAAAAUGGCUUCUGGUCAGAAAAGGUGAUCUGAGAUUAGGGGAAGAUGUGUCAUCAAUAUCAUCCCCUGGUCCAGCCCUGUGAAAUCACACCUGAGUGGUAGAGAAAUAUCUAUGAAAAAAUAGUAAAACAGAAACAAAUGUUUCUGUCUGGCAGACAGGCAGCUGCAUGGCUUUCAGGGCCAGGUAGAGGGGACAUCACAUGUACAUGGUGGCAGCGGGAUGUCCCCAGGUAGCAGAAAGUCGCAGGUGGCUCAUCAGAGACCCUAAAGAACUAGCCCCCUACUUGUAGGUGUCAGUGGCUGUGGUAGGAGUGGCCAUAGAUAGUUUCUGGUUACACAAGAUUGGUGUGGGAACAGCAUGACCACGAGAAAAAUCUGGGUUGACGGCCCCAGGGAGCUGGAGCAGAAUAUUAACAAUAGUAGCUAGCAUUUGAGUGCUGCCCAUGUGCUUGAAAAUGUUCUAGGUGAUUUACCUUUAUUAGCUCCUAUAAUUCUCAAAACGACCUCGAGUUAGGUCUUUCUAUUAUUCCUAUUUUAUAGACAAAGCAGUGGAGCCACAGAGAGGUUAAGUAACUUGCCCAAUGUCACACAGCAAAAAGUGGCAGAGCCACAAUUUUAAUUUGGGUUGAAGAGGAAAAUAGAUAAUGCAUAUUCCUAGGAUCUGAGAGAUGUUUGAGGUGAGGGGGAAUGAGAGGCUCUCCUUUGAAAGAAGCAGCAGGGGGUACUGAAACAGAGUAGAAGAGUGUGAAAGCUGGUGGGGUUGUUGUUGUUGUUGUUUUUAGUCCUAAGUUAGUGGCAUGAAAGCACUGCCCUGGAAGCGAUGGAGCAGCAAGUGCUCUACCCACAUGGAAGUCUUUGGGACCUGCACUUCAAUGAGCGCAGAGAGGAAAAGGAGAGAAGAACCAACACAACUGAAGCACCUACGAGCGUCAGGCACUGGCCCAGCUGCCAUGGACCCCCGAGUUGAAGGUCGUAUAACCUCAGCCUGCCCAAAUGAACCAAGCACACAACCACAGGGGGAACCCAAGAGUUCCAGUGGGAGAGCUGGAAGAGGAGGGACCAAUGUGAGAAGUGGACACCAUAUGGCAGGAUCCAGGAUCCAAUCAGACUGAGCCCUGGGGUCACCCCAUGGAAGGAUCCAGUUGGAUCAUGCCUCCUGGCAUCACCUACUGCAAGAUCCAAUCAGAUCACACCUCCUUACCCUAUGCUUAUAAAACCCCACCCAGCCCCCAGCCCGAAGAUACAGAUUUGAGUAUUUCCUCCUGUUUCCUUACCAGUCGAUUUGCAAUAAAGCUUUUUUUUUUUUCCUAAAGUUGGUGCUGUGGUAUUGGCCUCUAUGAGCAUUGGGUGGGAAGCUCAUUGAUUGCUUUGUAACAAUUCCUACAACAAUUUUCUGAGGUGAGGACUAUAAUUGUUCCCAUUUUACCAAAGAGAAAGAGGAGACACAGAGAGGUUAAGG